UUAGCAGAAGCUAAUUAAUAGCGCUUCAUUGUUACUGAAGAGGAAGGGAUGCCCCUGUUAAG
rnacentral:tRNA from 1 species